rnacentral:tRNA from 1 species
GAAAGGAUAAGCUAAAUUAAGCUACUGGGUUCAUACCCCAAUGAUGGAGACACUCCUCUUUUCA